GGCAUAUAGUUCAGUGGCAAAACACUUACCUAGCAUGCUGGAGGCCCUGGGUUCAAUCCCCAGUACCA
rnacentral:tRNA from 1 species